GAUGUUUAUGCACCAGUUUCACCGCGGGAUUCUGGAGGUCUUUCUCCCUCGCGUGAAUGGUCUCUGUCCCCUCCCACAUUUCUCCCGAAAGCUUUUAUUUGGCUGCUCCUACAGGGGACACCCUUGAUCUGUGCUCUCCCACCGAUUCUCUCCUCCAGAGUCCCAGCCGGUUCACCUCCACAAAUGCGUCUCCCAUCAUUUCCCGAGUGCUCCCCUCUCACUGCGACGGUGCAUCUGCCUGCCUUUCUUGCUUCAUUACGGCCGGCUUCAGCUCAUCGUUCACAGAGCAGCCAAAAGGGCUUUAUUCAAAUGCCCAUCUGACCAUGCCCCCUUCCUAUUUAAGGAUCCCACUGUACUUGCAACAAAAUAAAAACUCCUCAGCAGGUGUCUGGCCCCUUUUCCUCCUGCACCAUCUCCAGCCACCUCUGCUCAUUCAAUUUCAGCCACACUCCCCUUCCCUCUCUUCACGAAGGAGCCCAAGCGUGUCCCGCCUUUGGGGCUUUGCCUUCCCUUCCCUCUAGGCCUCCACUGCUUGUCCCCAAGACAGGAGUUUGCCAGUUACUGUUCAGCAAAAAUGUCCUGUCCUCAAAGACACCCUCCCUCCCCGGGUUACGACAGCCAUCCAGGUCCCUCUGUCCUGUUCCUGGAUUUGCUGAGCAGUAUCUUAACC
rnacentral:lncRNA from 1 species